GAUGAACGCUGGCGGCGUGCUUAACACAUGCAAGUCGAACGGAAAGGCCCAAGCUUGCUUGGGUACUCGAGUGGCGAACGGGUGAGUAACACGUGGGUGAUCUGCCCUGCACUUCGGGAUAAGCCUGGGAAACUGGGUCUAAUACCGGAUAGGACCACAUUUUGGAUGGUGUGGUGGAAAGUUUUUCGGUGUGGGAUGAGCUCGCGGCCUAUCAGCUUGUUGGUGGGGUAAUGGCCUACCAAGGCGUCGACGGGUAGCCGGCCUGAGAGGGUGUACGGCCACAUUGGGACUGAGAUACGGCCCAGACUCCUACGGGAGGCAGCAGUGGGGAAUAUUGCACAAUGGGCGCAAGCCUGAUGCAGCGACGCCGCGGGGGGGAUGACGGCCUUAGGGUUGUAAACUCCUUUCGCUAGGGACGAAGCGUUAUGUGACGGUACCUGGAGAAGAAGCACCGGCUAACUACGUG
rnacentral:rRNA from 1 species